GGUGGUGUAGCUCAGUGGUAGAGCGUUCGCUUCGCAUGUGAAAGGCCCGGUGUUCGAAUCCCCGCUCCUCCA